CCGCGGGGACGCGCCCGGGGGGUGGCUCCCGAGAGGCUGGGAGGGGCCCCGGGGGCUGCACCCCGGCCCGGCCGCGGCCGAGAGCAUCAGUUCCUCAUCCCCGCGCGCGCUCCCAGGCUCCCCAGCCGAGCGAGCGGUACCCUGGGGCCCGCGCCUCCCUUCCUGCCCUUCCCACCGCCACCCCCAAGGAGUGCAGACCCCGCCGGAGGGUGCAGCCGCAGGCCCCUGAGCGCCAGCGCCCUGUGCCACUUCGGGCGAGUCACGUCGCCUCCCUGAACCUCGGUGUCCUCUUCUGUUAAGUGGAGGUGACGAGAGAGCUCACGGGCUCGUGAAAGGUGUUCAAGGAGACGAGUGGGAAGAACCCAAAUGGUACAGUCAGACAGCACUGGAUGGGAAUUCCAGCUCCUGCUCCUACGAAUGACUUUGGACAAGUUGCAGAACUUUCUGAGUCUCUUUCCUCACCUGUGAAGUGAGAUAACAAUUUGUGAGAGCUGUGAGAAUGACUUUAAUGAAAUAAUGCAAUUAAAGUGCCUCGCAGAGCCCAGUGCACAGUAGGUCUAAA